UAAAAAAAUAAAAAUCUUAAAAAAAAACCCUACCCAGUCAUGGGCUGCUAUUGUUAAAUUUUUGUAGCAACCAUUUAAAUAUGAAAGAAAAAAAAAUAGUUCUAAUACAAAUUUUUACCUGAACAUUGCAAGUGAUUUAAAUAUUGCCUCAGACACAAUUCAGAGAAUAAAGUAUGAUUCAUGUAAAAUAAAAAAAGAUGUUAUAUGUAGUUUACAAGAAAAAAAAUGGAAAAUUGCAGCAGAGAGUUCGUUUUUUGAAAUAAUCAAUGACCCGCAACAAUCUUACAAACAAAAAAUUUAAAAGACAGUAUUUUUCACUAAAUUUGUGGAAAUUGAAAUAUUCAGAAGAAAAAAAAAAAAAAGCAAUUCAGCAGAAUAAGUUUCAUUCUUUAGAUUUCAUAAAUGAAUUGAGAACUCCUAAAAUCAGUAGAACAAAGUUGCAACAAAAUGUUAAAAAGAUAGAAAGGAAGCACAAAAUUGCUAUCAAAGAAUUACAGGAACAUAUAAAAUCAAAGAGCAAGAAAACAAACAACUUGUAGAAUAAAAUCAUUAUUUAACUAGUAUUAUUUUAGAAAAAAAAAGAGAUAAUAGGCUACUCAUAGAAACCAAAAAAUUAAGAACAUAUGACCUACCCAUAAGAAAAUGUGUUUAUGCUGCUAUUAUUAACAAUGUGCCUGUGGAAAGUGUCUCAUUUUUGUUAGAAAAAUUUCUGAAACAUUGCACAACCCAGAACUACAAGAAACACCCCACUCAUCCACAGUAAAUAGAAUGGCAUAUGAACCAGGUGUUUUAGCAUUGGUUCAAGCUGGUGAGGCACUUUUUCAUUGUGAAUGCGCAACAGUAGUGUUUGAUGCAACCACCGUUUUAGACAAACAUGUGAAUGAGUUUCUUAUCAGUACCUAUCCUCCGCAGAGAUGUUAUUCCUUUUUAACCGUUAAACUUGUUGGAGGUUCAGGAUUUGACUGUGCCACUCAUAUUGUCAGUGUAAUAAAAUAUAUUCACUUAAAAAAUCAAAAGUUGUCUGUCAGACAGAGUACCUGUUAAUAGUUGUGUGAAAAAUAUGCUUUAGGAGGAGAUGGAAAUUCAAUUAAUACAACUGUACUGCAACGUUCAUCCAUUGGAAACAAUUGCCUUAAAAGCAUUAUUAGCUCUUAAAACAAUAGAUAAUGAGUUGAAGAUAAAACCGGCUAAAGGAACUGAUGGGGUUGCAGUAACAGUCGUCAAAAAUAUUUCUAAGCUAAGAUGCCACGAAAUUAUAAUAAAAAAACUGAAAUAAAAUAUAGGCUAGAGGAUUUAAAAAAGACCAUAAAAGACGUGAGAAAUAUAACUUUUUCAUUAAGUCAAGCCUUUUCAGCUUAUUCGAUGCCUAAAACCACCUUAUAUGACUACUGCAAGAAAGAAUUCAUAACACAACCAAGAGGCGGAAGAAAAUGUAUAUUCUCAGAUACACAAGAAAAAGAGUUAAAUGAAUAUAUUGCUUUCAAAUUUGCUGAACAAAAUAAGCUGAACCAUAAAUUUAAUAGGACAACCCAAUUGGCAGGGAAAGACUGGUAUUAUUUUUUAUAAAAAAACAUUCAAAUACUUCAUUGAGAAAACCUGAGCCCACUUUGUUAAACAGAAUAAAUGGAUUUAAUGCAACAGAAGUAAAAAUGUUUUUUGAAAAUCUGGAAACUUUACAAAGAACUUAUCACUUUGACCCUAAUCAUAUAUAUAAUGUUGAUGAGACCAGUAUUCCUAAUGUUCAAUGAAAUUCCAAAAUCUUAGCCUCUAAGGGCCAGAAACAAGUGGGUAUGGAAACCAGUGGGGAAAGGGGUUCAACAACUACAGUUGUUUGUGCAUUCAGUGCUUCAGGAAAGUAUAUUUCUCUAUUUUUUAUAUUUAAUAAUCAGUUGUUGCGGGGACGAAAUGCUGAUAUGCUUGCCUUCCCGCAACCUGAGUCAGUGACUCAGGUUGGAUCAAUGAAAAUUUAUUUUUGGACUGGCUUAAUCACUUUAUCUCAAUUGCUAAACCAACCAAAGACGAACCUGUGUUAUUAGUCCUAGAUAACCAUGAGAGCCAUAUUAGCCUUGAUUGCUAUCUACUCUGUCGUGGAUAUGGAAUUGUAUUGUUAUCCCUUCCACCACACACUUCCCAUAGAAUACAACCAUUAGAUUUAACAUACUUUGGUCCAUUUAAGUCUGCAUACAACAGGGAAUGUGACAUUUUUAUGGCAGCAAACAUGGGCCGAAGAAUUACUCAAUAUGAAGUUGUUGAACUAUUUACAAAAGCUUUUAAUCGUCUCAGCAAUAUUGAAAAAGCAGCCAAUGGGUUCCGAGCAGCUGGUAUUUAUCCGUUAGAUCCCACAAAGCUCAAUGAUUUAUUUCCAAUCACUAUCAUUACACCUGAAACGUCAUUACUUGAUAACAUUCAGAGUUCAAAAUUCCAGGUAAACACAAUGAAUCAAUAAGAUACUCAAGUUAAAUCAUCUGAAGUCUUAGUUAAUCUGUCAUUGAAUCCUUCUAGUGUAGGUCUGUCACCUGAUGUGAAUGUAGCCCCUGAACUGGUCUCAAUUAGAUCAAAUCAGCCAAUAUCUCUUUUAAAUAUUGUUUCAGUACCUAAUUUGCCAAAAAGGAAAACCAGAGAAAGUCUAAGAAAGAAACAUUCGACUAUUAUAUCACUAGUUCUCCAAUGAAAGAUUUUUUAAAGGACAAGCAGCAAAAGAAAAGUAUAAA